GUACUUACCUGGCAGGGGAGAUACCAUGAUCACGAAGGUGGUUUUCCCAGGAUGAGGCUUAUCCAUUGCACUCUGGAUGAGCUGACCUCUGCGAUUUUCCCAAAUGCAGGAAACACGACUACAUAACUUGUGGUAGUAGGGGACUGCAUUCGCACUCUCCCCUG
ensembl:snRNA U1 U1 spliceosomal RNA